rnacentral:tRNA from 1 species
GGUUCCGUAGUUCAAUGGAUAGAAUGAAGGAUUCCGGUUCCUUUGAUUGGGGUUCGACUCCCCACGGGACUACCA